rnacentral:misc_RNA from 1 species
GUUGAAGAACGUAGUGAAAUGCGAUACGUAAUGUGAAUUGCAGAAUUCAGUGAAUCAUCGAGUCUUUGAACGCACAUUGCGCCCCCUGGUAUUCCGGGGGGCAUGCCUGUCCGAGCGUCAUUGCUGCCCUCAAGCACGGCUUGUGUGUUGGGCCUCCGUCCUCCUCCCGGGGGACGGGCCCGAAAGGCAGCGGCGGCACCGCGUCCGGUCCUCGAGCGUAUGGGGCUUCGUCACCCGCUCUUGUAGGCCCGGCCGGCGCUUGCCGACACAUCAAUCUUUUUUCCAGGUUGACCUCGGAUCAGGUAGGGAUACCCGCUGAACUUAAGCAUAUCAAUAAGCGGAGGA